CAGGCAGUCCCCAAGAACAUGCCUAACAAAAGGCAAGAGGCAGGGGACAGGCCAUCAGGAAGUCGGCAGAACAAAAUGGUGGCUUCAUGGCUUCAGGGACCCUGAUCCUGGCCCAGUCAGAAAGCAAUCUUCUGACAAGGUCUGGAGAAGCCUCAUCAGCCCUGUGCCAGUGUGGCCCACUGAGAGGAUUCUUGUCACCCGCUGAGUUCUCUAGGGUUGCCACGACAAAGCCUCCCAGAUCACGUGGCCCACUCUACAGCUUUCUCAUGGUUCUGGAGUCUCCCAGUCUGAAGUCAAGGUGUCAGCAGGGCCAUGGUGCUCCCUCCGAAGGCAAAAGGUGAAUCGUUGAAGACUGCACUGUUCAUACGGACAGAGAUGAAGAUGAGAAAGAGGAGAUUUGAAAACUGUAGAGGGAGUGCAAGGGGAAAAAAGUCAGGAAGUGCCUCACCCCAGCCAAGACCAACAGCUGAAAACCAGAGAUGAAACCUGGAAGGACCAUGGAAAACGCAGUGGGCAGCUUGAAGCUGCGUCAAACCAAUGUGCAGCCAAUAUAAUCCAGAACAAUUUGGAGAUAUUGGGAGCAAAGAAAUCCAUGAAACACAGGGACCAGGCUAAGGGGGCAUGGAGGGAGAAAACUGGAUGGAGAGUGGAGAUGGCUGGUCUGUCACAAUAUGGAAGUGCUUUCUCUCCCUGGGGGACUCAGAGCUCUGCAAACACGUGUGACCACAUGCUGCCUGUUGUAAGAUGGAUGCUCACAUCUGCAGGCUGACUUGGGGGGAGAAACUGGGGUCCUGAGAAGCAAAGGAAGGCUUUCAGGCUGAACAAACCAAUAAUGGAUGCCGGAAGGACAGACAGGUGCUGGUCCUCGCCACUGGCCUCGGACUACCAGGCUCCCUUUAUCUUGUCAGUCUCGUUCUUCAUAGGGAUAAAGGCUCUUCCAGCAGGGUCUCCUAUUCAUUGUGGAGUGAAAACCCAGUUCUCUGUCUUCUGGGGAAAGAGGACUUGGCUGGCUCCUCCCUGCUCAGCCUACCUGUUAGCACUGUCCUAACAGCAGAGGUGCAGGGAGGAGGAGAGCCCAGUAGCCCGGACAGCAUUGUCACAUACAUACAAAGUGCCCCUUGCCUUGGUAAUAGUCAACCCCAUUCGUAGAAGCCCCGAGUAACUCUUGAAAAACAAACCAAGGAAGUCAGAAGAUGAAAACCAGUCUGGGCACGUUUUCUCUUUGUCCUUUCUUUUUUCCAAUUUCUCCCAGUCAAAGCUUCAGCUCAAAUGCCCCAGAUUCUCCAGCUGAUAACUUGAAAGCAAACAAAAAUGACUGAAAAGACACACUGAGGUUUUUCAAGAGUGUGGCACCCAGAAAUGCCCAGUUCUUGCUAAAACUGCAGAAAGGUGCAAAGAAGCAGGCUUGCAAAGACUGGAGACAGAGAUAGAAGGGUCUGAAUCUUCAUCCUGGCACUGAUCAUGCUCCAAGACAACCUAUUAAGUCGUGUGCUUAUGCUGUGUUUCCCCUCAAACUGGGCUUAAGUUACUUUACUUAUUUUAUUUUUAUGACAAAAAUGUUCAAGUGUCAAUUUUCCAGAGGUGGAACGGCUGGAUCUUUUAGGAUGUAGCUCCUCCGUGGGCCACUUAUUUUCCUGAUGAUGUACUAUGGCUGGGUCUGAAAGCUGUGAUCAAACUGUUUGAUAGAAGGAUGUUUAGGGAUGAGUGGCUCUAGAUCUAUGGUUUCUGCAGGUUCAGUUUAUGACAUCCUGGUUCCAUGGACUCGGGCAGAACUUCAUGGUGGCAGAAUUAUUGGACAGAGAGGAAGCUGAGGGACAGUCAGGAUGGAGCCAGGAGCAAAAGAUCCCAAGGAUCACCCCAGUCAGCUACUACCUACAGCUAAGUUCUACCUCUUAACGUUUCUAGGACUUCCCAAAAACAGUACCACCAAGAAGGAACUUUGCUGUGACCUAAGAACCCCUGGGAGAGACUUCAUAUUUAAACUACAGUCCUUUUCAGAGACACAAUCCUAGCUCUCAUGCACAGCAAGUGACAUGAAGGAGCUAGGAGGAACAUGGCCUGCUUUUUAUUCCUUCAAACAGGAAAAUUACCUCAGUAGACAUUGCUGUGCUCUUUAUGAAGUGAAUCAUACCUUCAGACCUGGCCCCCCCUCCACCAUACCAAGGGUGGGGGGAGGGGAGGAAUCGUAAUUGUAACUGAAUCCAAAAGCCUUACCUGCUUAAGGGAGUUAAAUAUAUAGUAUUUUCCACCAAAGCAAGGCCACCUCCUGCCUUCUUGAGUCCCUUACCUGCCUGUCACUAAGCUUUUCUCUGCCUCACAAGGGACAGUCACAGGUACUGCCUGUGAUGUGACUCUGACUAAUAUGAAUUCUAGGAACUACCUCUUCCAAGUAAUGAUGUGCUAGUCCUAGCAAGUUCAUCAAAGACUCAAAUAUUGUCUCAGUGUCUUCAAGUGGACCACUCUGUGUGUUUGUGUGUGUGUGUGUGUGUGUGUGUGUGUGUGUGUGUGUGUGUGUGUGUGUCUAUUUAGAGUAUGACAGCCGGUUGCUAGGCAACGCAUCUCCAACAAGGGGAGUGUGAAAAUAAAUAAAUAAACACAUGAUGAGAAUGUGGUCCAGAGCUUGUUAUGACAAGAGCAUUUGGGUGCAGUUCAGUCCCGCUUGAUGGGAGUGUCACGGGGAUGUCAGAGCUUGCUCAGCUCCCUCAUGAGUUCCUUGCCUUUCAGCUCCUUGCCCUCUGUCUUAUGUGGUGGGGAAAGCAGAGAUGAAAUACAGCUCUCUGGAGGGCUGUGCCUUUGUGAAAGGCUAUUAUAGCUGUAACAAAACUUUUGUAAUCUGUAACCAUAUCCCAUUACAUCUCCAGGCUCCUUGGGUCUCUUCCCAGUCGUAAGGAAAACACACACGCCCUUUUCUUCCUUUCCUUCUUGCGUUCUUCCUUGCACCCUUGCUAGUUUCCACUCUUUAAAAGGUCAUCCCAGUUGUUCUUUUCACACAGAUUUUCCUUCUUAGCCUUUGAUGGAAAUUGGCCCUAGGUCUCCAGAAAGGCUGGGUGGUGUCUUUGCUAUCAAAGACAAAUGGAGGAAGCAGGGGCCGACUGCAGAUGAGCUUACUUCAGUGGGCCAGGAGUUGCUGGGGAUGAUUAAGCCCUCUUCUGUCAGAAUUAACCUUUUUUGAGCCUAGAUUGUCUUCACACUCGAUUAUUACCUUCAUUCUUGCUUUGAGGGAAACCAAUUGGCUUAGAGUUGAAGAAGCAAGUUAAAAUCAGACCUGGGGUCCUGACUCAGGUGCAACCAGUUACUAGUCACACGUCCUUAGGAAAUGGCAUCCAAUCUCUCAGCUUCUUCAUAUGCAGAAAGAGGUUCCUGCUAACUGUCUUAUAAUUUCUCUCAUAGAAGUUCUGUGAGACAGGAGGAGAAGGAA